GUUGAACGCUGGCGGCAGGCCUAACACAUGCAAGUCGAACGAGUGGCGGACGGGUGAGUAAUGUCUGGGAAACUGCCUGAUGGAGGGGGCUAACUACUGGCAACGGUAGAUAAUACCGCAUACCAUCAGAUGUGCCCAGAUGGGAUUAGCUAGUUGGGGGGGUAACGGCUCACCAAGGCGACGAUCCCUAGCUGGUCUGAGAGGAGGACCAGCCACACGGUAACGGAGACACGGUCCAGACUCCUACGGGAGGCAGCAGUGGGGAAUAUUGCACAAUGGGCGCAAGCCUGAGGCAGCCAUGCCGCGUGUAUGAAGAAGGCUUUCGGGUUGUAAAGUACUUUCAGCGGGGAGGCGUUACCCGCAGAAGAAGCACCGGCUAACUCCGUGCCAGCAGCCGCGGUAAUAC
rnacentral:rRNA from 1 species